AGUCCGGCGGGGGCGCCGCGGAGAGCGGAGGGCGCCGGGCUGCGGAACGCGAAGCGGAGGGCGCGGGACCCUGCACGCCGCCCGCGGGCCCAUGUGAGCGCCAUGCGGCGCCGCGCAGCCCGGGGACCCGGCCCGCCGCCCCCAGGGCCCGGACUCUCGCGGCUGCCGCUGCCGCUGCUGCUGCUGCUGGCGCUGGGGACCCGCGGGGGCUGCGCCGCGCCCGCACCCGCGCCGCGCGCCGAGGACCUCAGCCUGGGAGUGGAGUGGCUAAGCAGGUUCGGUUACCUGCCCCCGGCUGACCCCACAACAGGGCAGCUGCAGACGCAAGAGGAGCUGUCUAAGGCCAUCACAGCCAUGCAGCAGUUUGGUGGCCUGGAGGCCACCGGCAUCCUGGACGAGGCCACCCUGGCCCUGAUGAAAACCCCACGCUGCUCCCUGCCAGACCUCCCUGUCCUGACCCAGGCUCGCAGGAGACGCCAGGCUCCAGCCCCCACCAAGUGGAACAAGAGGAACCUGUCGUGGAGGGUCCGGACGUUCCCACGGGACUCACCACUGGGGCACGACACGGUGCGUGCACUCAUGUACUACGCCCUCAAGGUCUGGAGCGACAUUGCGCCCCUGAACUUCCACGAGGUGGCGGGCAGCGCCGCCGACAUCCAGAUCGACUUCUCCAAGGCCGACCAUAACGACGGCUACCCCUUCGACGGCCCCGGCGGCACCGUGGCCCACGCCUUCUUCCCCGGCCACCACCACACCGCCGGGGACACCCACUUUGACGAUGACGAGGCCUGGACCUUCCGCUCCUCGGAUGCCCACGGGAUGGACCUGUUUGCAGUGGCUGUCCACGAGUUUGGCCACGCCAUUGGGUUAAGCCAUGUGGCCGCUGCACACUCCAUCAUGCGGCCGUACUACCAGGGCCCGGUGGGUGACCCGCUGCGCUACGGGCUCCCCUACGAGGACAAGGUGCGCGUCUGGCAGCUGUACGGUGUGCGGGAGUCUGUGUCUCCCACGGCGCAGCCCGAGGAGCCUCCCCUGCUGCCGGAGCCCCCAGACAACCGGUCCAGCGCCCCGCCCAGGAAGGACGUGCCCCACAGAUGCAGCACUCACUUUGACGCGGUGGCCCAGAUCCGGGGUGAAGCUUUCUUCUUCAAAGGCAAGUACUUCUGGCGGCUGACGCGGGACCGGCACCUGGUGUCCCUGCAGCCGGCACAGAUGCACCGCUUCUGGCGGGGCCUGCCGCUGCACCUGGACAGCGUGGACGCCGUGUACGAGCGCACCAGCGACCACAAGAUCGUCUUCUUUAAAGGAUUUCCUUCCUGGCUGAGGCUGAGCGGCAUUCCAUGGCACGGACGGACUGCACCUCGUUCGCCUGCUCACUUGGGUUUCCUCUACUCUGGGCUCCUGUGAAGGACGCUGCUAUGAGCGUGAGUGUGCAAACGUCUCUCCAAGACCCUGCUUUCGGUUCUUUUGGAUUUAUACCCAGAAGCGGGAAUGCUGGAUCACGUGGUAAUUCUAUUUUUGACGUUUUGGGGAGCCUAUGUUCUGUCUCCCGCAGCGGCUGCACAAUUUCAUACUCCCUCCCCGGCAGCGCCCGGCUCUGCCGUCCCCAUAUCCUCCCGACACAGGACCAGCUGUACUGGCGCUACGAUGACCACACGAGGCACAUGGACCCCGGCUACCCCGCCCAGAGCCCCCUGUGGAGGGGUGUCCCCAGCACGCUGGACGACGCCAUGCGCUGGUCCGACGGUGCCUCCUACUUCUUCCGUGGCCAGGAGUACUGGAAAGUGCUGGAUGGCGAGCUGGAGGUGGCACCCGGGUACCCACAGUCCACGGCCCGGGACUGGCUGGUGUGUGGAGACUCACAGGCCGAUGGAUCUGUGGCUGCGGGCGUGGACGCGGCAGAGGGGCCCCGCGCCCCUCCAGGACAACAUGACCAGAGCCGCUCGGAGGACGGUUACGAGGUCUGCUCAUGCACCUCUGGGGCAUCCUCUCCCCCGGGGGCCCCAGGCCCACUGGUGGCUGCCACCAUGCUGCUGCUGCUGCCGCCACUGUCACCAGGCGCCCUGUGGACAGCGGCCCAGGCCCUGACGCUAUGACACACAGCGCGAGCCCAUGAGAGGACAGAGGCGGUGGGACAGCCUGGCCACAGAGGGCAAGGACUGUGCCGGAGUCCCUGGGGGAGGUGCUGGCGCGGGAUGAGGACGGGCCACCCUGGCACCGGAAGGCCAGCAGAGGGCACUGUCCGCCAGGGCUGGGCAGGCUCAGGUGGCAAGGACGGAGCUGUCCCCUAGUGAGGGACUGUGUUGACUGACGAGCCGAGGGGUGGCCGCUCCAGAAGGGUGCCCAGUCAGGCCGCACCGCCGCCAGCCUCCUCCGGCCCUGGAGGGAGCAUCUCGGGCUGGGGGCCCACCCCUCUCUGUGCCGGCGCCACCAACCCCACCCACACUGCUGCCUGGUGCUCCCGCCGGCCCACAGGGCCUCCGUCCCCAGGUCCCCAGUGGGGCAGCCCUCCCCACAGACGAGCCCCCCACAUGGUGCCGCGGCACGUCCCCCCUGUGACGCGUUCCAGACCAACAUGACCUCUCCCUGCUUU